rnacentral:rRNA from 1 species
GUGGGGAAUAUUGGACAAUGGGCGCAAGCCUGAUCCAGCCAUGCCGCGUGAGUGAUGAAGGCCCUAGGGUUGUAAAGCUCUUUCAUCGGUGAAGAUAAUGACGGUAACCGGAGAAGAAGCCCCGGCUAACUUCGUGCCAGCAGCCGCGGUAAUACGAAGGGGGCUAGCGUUGUUCGGAAUUACUGGGCGUAAAGCGCACGUAGGCGGACAUUUAAGUCAGGGGUGAAAUCCCGGGGCUCAACCCCGGAACUGCCUUUGAUACUGGGUGUCUGGAGUAUGGAAGAGGUAAGUGGAAUUCCGAGUGUAGAGGUGAAAUUCGUAGAUAUUCGGAGGAACACCAGUGGCGAAGGCGGCUUACUGGUCCAUUACUGACGCUGAGGUGCGAAAGCGUGGGGAGCAAACAGGAUUAGAAACCCUAGUAGUCC